rfam:Dipodomys ordii contig_28811, whole genome shotgun sequence.
AUUCUUUUCUGGUUCAUAAGCAUGAUGAUUGGGUUCUCACACGCUUGUGUGGUAUGUGCCUCCCUCAAACCUUGUUACAACUUGGGCACAUUACCUGUCUGUCA